rnacentral:rRNA from 1 species
UACGGGGGGAGCAAGCGUUGUUCGGAUUUACUGGGCGUAAAGGGCGCGUAGGCGGCCACCGCAAGUCGACUGUGAAAUCUCCGGGCUUAACCCGGAAAGGUCAGCCGAUACUGCGGGGCUAGAGUGCAGAAGGGGCAACUGGAAUUCUCGGUGUAGCGGUGGAAUGCGCAGAUAUCAGGAGGAACACCGAUGGCGAAGGCAGCUCGCUGGGACGGUACUGACGCUGAGGCGCGAAAGCGUGGGGAGCGAACAGG